rnacentral:rRNA from 1 species
GGGGACAACAUUUGGAAACGAAUGCUAAUACCGCAUAACAACUUUAAACACAAGUUUUAAGUUUGAAAGAUGCAAUUGCAUCACUCAAAGAUGAUCCCGCGUUGUAUUAGCUAGUUGGUGAGGUAAAGGCCCACCAAGGCGAUGAUACAUAGCCGACCUGAGAGGGUGAUCGGCCACAUUGGGACUGAGACACGGCCCAAACUCCUACGGGAGGCAGCAGUAGGGAAUCUUCGGCAAUGGACGAAAGUCUGACCGAGCAACGCCGCGUGAGUGAAGAAGGUUUUCGGAUCGUAAAACUCUGUUGGUAGAGAAGAACGUUGGUGAGAGUGGAAAGCUCAUCAAGUGACGGUAACUACCCAGAAAGGGACGGCUAACUACGUGCCAGCAGCCGCGGUAAUACGUAGGUCCCGAGCGUUGUCCGGAUUUAUUGGGCGUAAAGCGAGCGCAGGUGGUUUAUUAAGUCUGGUGUAAAAGGCAGUGGCUCAACCAUUGUAUGCAUUGGAAACUGGUAGACUUGAGUGCAGGAGAGGAGAGUGGAAUUCCAUGUGUAGCGGUGAAAUGCGUAGAUAUAUGGAGGAACACCGGUGGCGAAAGCGGCUCUCUGGCCUGUAACUGACACUGAGGCUCGAAAGCGUGGGGAGCAAACAGGAUUAGAUACCCUGGUAGUCCACGCCGUAAACGAUGAGUGCUAGAUGUAGGGAGCUAUAAGUUCUCUGUAUCGCAGCUAACGCAAUA